GUCCGUACGGAAGGAAAGGGGGGGAUCUUCGGACCUCUCGCUAAUAGAUGAGCCUAGGCCGGAUUAGCUAGUUGGUAGGGUAAAGGCCUACCAAGGCGACGAUCUGUAGCUGGUCUGAGAGGAUGGCCAGCCACACUGGAACUGAGACACGGUCCAGACUCCGUACGGGGAGGCAGCAGGUGGGGAAUAUUGGACAAUGGGGGCAACCCUGAUCCAGCCAUGCCGCGUGUGUGAAGAAGGCCUUCGGGUUGUAAAGCACUUUAAGCGAGGAGGAAGGUUUUAGUUUAAUACACUAAAGAAUUGACGUUACUCGCAGAAUAAGCACCGGCUAACUCUGUG
rnacentral:rRNA from 1 species